rnacentral:piRNA from 1 species
UACAAAUUUAAACGGUCCCGGGGGAG